GCCUACGGCCAUGCCACCCUGAACAAACCCGAUCUUGUCUGAUCUCGGAAGCUAAGCAGGGUCAGGCCUGGUUAGUACUUGGAUAGGAGACCACCUAGGAAGACUAAGUGCUUUAGGUG
rnacentral:rRNA from 1 species